ACCCUUUUAGUAUAAUAGUAUAUUUGACUUCCAAUCAAAAGGUUUAAUUAGUUAAAAAGGGUA
rnacentral:tRNA from 1 species